CCCGCCACCAGGACCACACCAUAAACCUUUUUUAUGCAGUUGCAAUCAGCGUCAGUAUAACAAAUGUAAAUCAUUUACAACUUUCAACAACGGAUCUCUUGGUUCUGGCAUCGAUGAAGAACGCAGCGAAAUGCGAUACGUAGUGUGAAUUGCAGAAUUCAGUGAAUCAUCGAAUCUUUGAACGCACAUUGCGCCCUUUGGUAUUCCAAAGGGCAUGCCUGUUCGAGCGUCAUUUGUACCCUCAAGCUUUGCUUGGUGUUGGGCGUCUUUUGUCUUUGGCCUCGCCCAAAGACUCGCCUUAAAACGAUUGGCAGCCGGCCUACUGGUUUCGCAGCGCAGCACAUUUUUGCGCUUGCAAUCAGCAAAAAGGACGGCAAUCCAUCAAGACUACAUUUUUACGUUUGACCUCGGAUCAGGUAGGGAUACCCGCUGAACUUAAGCAUAUCAAUAAGCGG
rnacentral:rRNA from 1 species